UAGGGAAUCUUCGGCAAUGGGCGCAAGCCUGAUGGAGCAACACCGCGUGAGUGAAGAAGGGUUUCGGCUCGUAAAGCUCUGUUGUUAAAGAAGAACACGUAUGAGAGUAACUGUUCAUUCGAUGACGGUAUCUAACCAGCAAGUCACGGCUAACUACGUGCCAG
rnacentral:rRNA from 1 species